UGUAUUUACAGUGGAAACACUAAACAAUGAUAAUGGACUAUUGAUGAGGGAGGUGCCGAUUCUGCAGCGGGUAGCAACGGCAGCAGAAGCAGGGACAUCUCAAAUGGUAGAUGUGAGUAUACUAUACAAACAACCGAACCAACACCGCUAGCGUCCAGUGGUGUUUUUAGCAGAUCAGCACUCUCCUGUUUUUCAUUAAGCUCUGCGGGUGCUACAACCGGCGGUAGUACUGUCAAUCGAAAAGCCACAGCUGAUACAGCGUUGCUGAAUCUACAUUGUUGGCUUCGGCCCAUACGGUUCAUCGACCGGUGCCACUAAUAAUCAUGUAAAAAUGGAGGGAAGCGUCUGGGACGCAUGCUAGCAGAAAACAAUAGGAAAUUAUUAUUUUUUGAGAACUGCAUACAUUACAGCCCAUCGUCAAUACUUGAUGACAACGAACUCAUAUUCUUCGGCGAGGAGGGUAUGUCCGAAGUAUGCUUGGGCAGUGUAUUUUUCUAGUUCCAGUGCAUUUUCUGUUGUUGUGUUGCACUUUAGCUUUAAGAGGGAAAUGGCCAGAAAUGAGUUAACGCAGCAGUAAAGUGAAGUUCCUGAAAUGCAUUGCAGCUGAUGAUCGGCUAACCUGUUCGUGAUUUUUUGAUUUUAAAUUAUUAUUCUAUUAUCUAGAUGAAGGUUAGUACUUUUUUAGAUUUUUCUCCGCUAAGGCUUAGCUUUUCUUAACCUCUAACAAACUGUCGAUAUUACCUUUGAAUAAUAUUAAAUAAAAUUCUUUAAAAUUACUUAAAAAUA